GGUGACGAGUGGCGGACGGGUGAGUAAUGUCUGGGAAACUGCCUGAUGGAGGGGGAUAACUACUGGAAACGGUAGCUAAUACCGCAUAACGUCGCAAGACCAAAGAGGGGGACCUUCGGGCCUCUUGCCAUCAGAUGUGCCCAGAUGGGAUUAGCUAGUAGGUGGGGUAAUGGCUCACCUAGGCGACGAUCCCUAGCUGGUCUGAGAGGAUGACCAGCCACACUGGAACUGAGACACGGUCCAGACUCCUACGGGAGGCAGCAGUGGGGAAUAUUGCACAAUGGGCGCAAGCCUGAUGCAGCCAUGCCGCGUGUAUGAAGAAGGCCUUCGGGUUGUAAAGUACUUUCAGCGGGGAGGAAGGUGUUGCGGUUAAUAACCGCAGCAAUUGACGUUACCCGCAGAAGAAGCACCGGCUAACUCCGUGCCAGCAGCCGCGGUAAUACGGAGGGUGCAAGCGUUAAUCGGAAUUACUGGGCGUAAAGCGCACGCAGGCGGUCUGUCAAGUCGGAUGUGAAAUCCCCGGGCUCAACCUGGGAACUGCAUUCGAAACUGGCAGGCUAGAGUCUUGUAGAGGGGGGUAGAAUUCCAGGUGUAGCGGUGAAAUGCGUAGAGAUCUGGAGGAAUACCGGUGGCGAAGGCGGCCCCCUGGACAAAGACUGACGCUCAGGUGCGAAAGCGUGGGGAGCAAACAGGA
rnacentral:rRNA from 1 species